rnacentral:rRNA from 1 species
GACGAACGCUGGCGGCGUGCCUAAUACAUGCAAGUAGGACGAGUUGCGAACGUGUGAUUAACGCGUGGUCACCUGCCUAUUGGAGGGUGAUAACUAUUGGAAACGAUAGCGAAUACCGCAUACUAGUAGAUGUACCUGCGUUGUAUUAGCUAGUAGGUAGGGUAAUGGCCUACCUAGGCGACGAUACAUAGCUGACCUGAGAGGGUGACCAGCCACACUGGAACUGAGACACGGUCCAGACGCCUACGGGAGGCAGCAGUGGGGAAUAUUGCACAAUGGGCGCAAGCCUGAUGCAGCCAUGCCGCGUGUAUGAAGAAGGCCUUCGGGUUGUAAAGUACUUUCAGCGGGGAGGCGUUACCCGCAGAAGAAGCACCGGCUAACUCCGUGCCAGCAGCCGCGGUAAUAC